GACGAACGCUGGCGGCGUGCUUAACACAUGCAAGUCGAACGGAAAGGCCCUGCUUUUGUUGGGUUCUCGAGUGGCGAACGGGUGAGUAACACGUGAGUAACCUGCCCUUGACUUUGUGAUAACUUCAGGAAACUGGGGCUAAUACCGGAUAGGAUCUCCUGCUGCAUGGUGGGGGUUGGAAAGUUUCGGCGGUUGGGGCUGGACUCGCGGCUUAUCAGCUUGUUGGUGGGGUAGGGGCGUACGAAGGCUUUGACGGGUAGCCGGCCUGAGAGGGUGGACGGCCACAUUGCGACUGAGGUACGGCCCAGAAUCCUACGGGCGGCAGCAGUGGGGAGUAUUGCGCAGUGGGCGGAAGCGUGAUGCAGCAACGCCGCGUGCGGGAUGACGGCCUUCGGGUUGUAAACCGAUUUCGACUGUGACGAAGCGUGAGUGACGGUAAUGGGUAAGGAAGCACCGGCUAACUACGUG
rnacentral:rRNA from 1 species